GGAAGGGUCGCAUAGUGGACGAGUGCGCGUGCUUGGAGAGCACGUAUAACCGCAAGGUUAUCGAGGGUUCGAAUCCCUCCCCUUCCG
rnacentral:tRNA from 1 species